rnacentral:rRNA from 1 species
UACGUAGGGGGCAAGCGUUGUCCGGAAUCAUUGGGCGUAAAGCGUGCGCAGGCGGUUUUGUAAGCCAGAUGUGAAAUCCCCGGGCUUAACCUGGGAAUGGCAUUUGGGACUGCAAGGCUCGAGUGCGGCAGAGGAGACUGGAAUUCCUGGUGUAGCAGUGAAAUGCGUAGAUAUCAGGAGGAACACCGAUGGCGAAGGCAGGUCUCUGGGCUGACACUGACGCUCAUGCACGAAAGCGUGGGGAGCAAACAGG